CCCCUUUCUAAAAGCACUCAGAGGGCCCUUUGAUAAUGACCCACUGAGCUGUCAAGAAAGGGCAGAGUGAAAACACCACUUUUGGGUGAAGCAGCAGCAUGUUGUGUUGUUUUGCUUCAAUCGGUGGUGUGACAAGG
rnacentral:snoRNA from 1 species